rnacentral:rRNA from 1 species
AAGUCGAACGAGAAGCAGGAGCUUGCUCCUGUGGAAAGUGGCGGACGGCUGAGUACAACAUAGGAAAUCUGCCUUAGGGUGGGGGACAACGGAGGGAAACUUCUGCUAAUACCCCAUAUGAGUUUGGUUGAAAUACCAAUCUUGAAAGUUCCGGCGCCCUAAGAUGAGCCUGUGCCUGAUUAGCUAGUUGGUGGUGUAAUGGACUACCAAGGCGACGAUCAGUAGCUGGUUUGAGAGGAUGAUCAGCCACAAUGGGACUGAGACACGGCCCAUACUCCUACGGGAGGCAGCAGUAGGGAAUUUUGCGCAAUGGGCGAAAGCCUGACGCAGCAACACCGCGUGAAUGUUAAGCCCUUCGGGGUGUAAAGUUCUGUCAAUAGGGACGAAUUUUGACUGUACCUAUAAAGGAAGCACCGGCUAACUCCGUGCCAGCAGCCGCGGUAAUACGGGGGGUGCAAGCGUUGUCCGGAAUCAUUGGGCGUAAAGCGUUCGUAGGCGGCAAGGUAAGUCUGAUGUUAAAGCCCGGGGCUCAACUCCGGUUCGGCAUUGGAUACUAUCUAGCUAGAAUGUGGUAGAGGUAAAGGGAAUUCCUGGUGUAGCGGUGAAAUGCGUAGAUAUCAGGAGGAACAUCGGUGGCGAAAGCGCUUUACUGGACCAUUAUUGACGCUGAGGAACGAAAGCCAGGGGAGCAAAUGGGAUUAGAUACCCCAGUAGUCCUGGCCGUAAACGAUGGAUACUAGGUGUUGCGGGUAUCGACCCCUGCAGUGCCGAAGCUAACGCGAUAAGUAUCCCGCCUGGGGAGUACGCACGCAA